GGACUCGUAGCAUAAUGGAUAGUGCAUCUGACUACGGAUCAGAAGGUUGCAGGUUCGAGUCCUGCCGGGUUCA
rnacentral:tRNA from 1 species